rnacentral:rRNA from 1 species
UACGGGGGGAGCAAGCGUUGUUCGGAUUUACUGGGCGUAAAGGGCGCGUAGGCGGCCAGCACAAGUCAGUUGUGAAAUCUCCGAGCUUAACUCGGAAAGGUCAACUGAUACUGUGCGGCUAGAGUGCGGAAGGGGCGACUGGAAUUCUUGGUGUAGCGGUGAAAUGCGUAGAUAUCAAGAGGAACACCUGCGGCGAAGGCGGGUUGCUGGGCCGACACUGACGCUGAGGCGCGAAAGCCAGGGGAGCGAACGGG